rnacentral:rRNA from 1 species
GUGGAUUAGAUACCCUGGUAGUCCACGCCGUAAACGAUGGGCACUAGGUGCUUGGGGGAGCGACCCCCUGGGUGCCGGCGCUAACGCAUGAAGUGCCCCGCCUGGGGAGUACGGCCGCAAGGCUGAAACUCAAAGGAAUUGACGGGGGCCCGCACAAGCGGUGGAGCAUGUGGUUUAAUUCGACGCAACGCGAAGAACCUUACCUAGGCUUGACAUGCAGGAGAAACGCUCCCGAAACGGGGCGCCCUCUUCGGAGUUCCUGCACAGGUGCUGCACGGCCGUCGCCAACU